GGCCCUCUAGCUCAACUGGCAGAGCAGUUGACUCUUAAUCAAUUGGUUCGGAGUUCGAGUCUCCGGAGGGUCA
rnacentral:tRNA from 2 species